AUGCUCGCUUCAGCAACACAUAUACUAAAAUUGGAACGAUACAGAGGUUAGCAUGACCUCAGUGCAAGGAGGACACGCAAAUUUGUGAAGCGUUUCAUAUUUAA